rnacentral:rRNA from 1 species
UACGAAGGGGGCAAGCGUUGUUCGGAAUUAUUGGGCGUAAAGGGAGCGUAGGCGGUUCGGCAAGUCUUUAGUGAAAUCUCUGGGCUCAACUCAGAGUCUGCUGGAGAAACUGCCGGGCUGGAGUAUGGGAGAGGUGAGUGGAAUUCCGAGUGUAGAGGUGAAAUUCGUAGAUAUUCGGAAGAACACCAGUGGCGAAGGCGACUUACUGGACACAUAUUGACGCUGAGGUGCGAAAGCGUGGGGAGCAAACAGG